CCCCUCUUAGGGUAAUACCUGGAGAGUUUCCAGUACUCUAUCAGCCUUGACUACGGGAGGGAGAGUCAAGCAGAAGACUACCCAUUCCAUUCCUAGCUUGAACAGUGGUUAGCGAAUGGAAAGCAAUCUGCUACAAGU